CACUCGCCAACAAAAAGGAAAAUCAGGUCCUGCAGGGCUGGAUUCGGGCGAUCCUCAAUCACUUUUGGUUCUCAUGCUCAUCUUGUGGUGAGAGUGCUGAGGUAAUAACCCCAAUGCAUAAAGAAUGUAUAAAGAUUGCACUGAAAUCCAGUCAGAAGAUUAUCAAAUAGUCUUGAAAUGUAAUAUAUUCUGUGGGAACUGAAGCGACGGUGGACCUCAGUCCUCCACCACAUCUGUGGGGAGCACACAUGGGAGCAAGAUGGAAGAAAGUGGGCAUGCCCUCACCCUGCUCUCAACCCAGAUCAGCAAAGGACAAAGCGAUGGCUCCAGCCAGAGUCUCAAGUGUUCAAGUCUUUACGGAAUAUUGUUGAAGAUAAAAGACUUCUGAAAGACCUUGAGCAGAUGACUCGCUUCAAACAUACAGGAUCUUUGGAAGUGUACCACAACGUUAUGCUAAAAUAUCUGCCGAAACGACUGCAUUUUCGGUACGACACCAUGGUAGCCCGAACACAACUAGCCAUCCUGGACAACAAUUACAAUGUCGGCCGACAGCAGACAGAGACUUCAGAAGGACUUCCAAGAUACAGUAUGGUGUUCCCAAAACAGAGCAAGGAAUGGGUAGCCAAGAAGAUCUAUGAGCCUACUAGUCAGUACUUCACGCAUCACCUUGUGAAACUCGUGUUGGAGAGAAGGGAGGAAAGAACACCGGAAGACAUUCCACAUGUCCAGCGGCCUGGAAACAUUGCCACUAAGGAGAGACCCCCCAAGGAAGAUUUAAUCAGGAAACAUCAAUUCAGAUGCCCUCGCCACACUGAUGUUUGAAAAACCAAGGAUCCAGAUUGUAAAUUUGUUUAUAUGUCAGAAUCAGAAUCACUUUUAUUACCCCUUAUUGUACAGUAGGCUACACAAGAGCAAAAUUAUUAGGCUUGGUUCCUCAGCAUACACAUAGCUGCAAGAAAAAAAUAUAAAAUAAGUAUAAAAAUAAAUAAGUAGCAGCAUUAAUAAUAAUAAAGUAAUG
ensembl:lncRNA